rnacentral:rRNA from 1 species
AUUGAACGCUGGCGGCAGGCCUAACACAUGCAAGUCGAACGGUAGCACAGAGAGCUUGCUCUUGGGUGACGAGUGGCGGACGGGUGAGUAAUGCCUGGGAAACUGCCCGAUGGAGGGGGAUAACUACUGGAAACGGUAGCUAAUACCGCAUAACGUCGCAAGACCAAAGUGGGGGACCUUCGGGCCUCACACCAUCGGAUGUGCCCAGAUGGGAUUAGCUAGUAGGUGGGGUAAUGGCUCACCUAGGCGACGAUCCCUAGCUGGUCUGAGAGGAUGACCAGCCACACGAGAACUGAGACACGGUGCAGACUCCUACGGGAGGCAGCAGUGGGGAAUAUUGCACAAUGGGCGCAAGCCUGAUGCAGCCAUGCCGCGUGUAUGAAGAAGGCCUUCGGGUUGUAAAGUACUUUCAGCGAGGAGGAAGGUGUUGUAGUUAAUAGCUGCAGCAAUUGACGUUACUCGCAGAAGAAGCACCGGCUAACUCCGUGCCAGCAGCCGCCGUAA